rnacentral:rRNA from 1 species
UACGUAGGGACCAAGCGUUGUUCGGAUUUACUGGGCGUAAAGGGCGCGUAGGCGGCUUUGCAAGUGACGGGUGAAAUCCCUCGGCUUAACCGAGGAACUGCCUGUCAGACUGCAUGGCUUGAGACCGGGAGAGGUGAGUGGAAUUCCCAGUGUAGCGGUGAAAUGCGUAGAUAUUGGGAGGAACACCAGUGGCGAAGGCGGCUCACUGGACUGGUACUGACGCUGAUGCGCGAAAGCGUGGGGAGCAAACAGG